rnacentral:rRNA from 1 species
CAACUGUGUGAAUUAAUGUGAACUGCAUACUGCUUUGAACAUCGACAUCUUGAACGCAUAUUGCGGCCAUGGGUUAGCCUGUGGCCACGCCUGUCCGAGGGUCGGCUUAUAAACUAUCACGACGCCCAUAAAGUCGUGGCUUGGGUUUUGCCAGCUGGCAUGAUUUCCUUAUCAUUUCGGUGGUGAGGUGUCAGAUCUAUGGCUUUUCCCUAAUGUGUCCG